AGCAUUCAGACUCUGGAAUGAAGAACUUGAGAUUCAGAGGAGCUGAGUCAAUACUACCCUUACAGAAUAGGCAGGUGAAGAAUUCUCCCCAAGGCUGGCCUGCCUUCUGUUUUCCUGCCAGCUGGCAUAGCAUCCAGUCCAAGUGCAGUGCUGUUUAUCUUUGGGUACCAGUAAGAUCAGCACAUGCAUGGGAAUGUAAUCUGCAUCCUGAUCUGCAGCAGAAAUGUGUCGAAUCCCAGCUCUGCCCAGAGCAAGGGAGUGUCCAGCACCACCUAAUCCAGAGAGGCAUGGAGUCAGCUCACAGAAGCGGAAUCACGCUCCAGUGGGCUGUCACACUGCAAGUUUCUGAGCAUUUUUAUUUUGUCAUUUGGGAUGGGAACACUUAAGGAGAUGUUAAUGGAGAGUGAAAAGGCAACUGUAUUCCUCAAAUUGCUGGAAGGAAGCCUGUUUUGCACCAGAGAUCUCUUUUCUUUAUUUAAUGAACUUUGAAAACCGUACAUCCGCCUGACAGUUAGGCUUCAAUGUUCUGCCUGGAAAUGAGGUCCUCACCAGCAAGCCUGCCGCAGGUAAGAUCUUGCUCUGCAUCCCUUCUUUGCCUGUCUGCUCCUUCUUCAUCUGAAACUGUCUUUUCAUGACAUGAUCUGAGCUGAAACUCUUCCACUUGAUGGGGAGGGCAGGAGCUACCAGGCUGCUUGUGCCCUCCCCUUCCAUUUCUGUGCAGUCCCAGCCCUAAUUUGUCAUACGAUUUGUCAUAGCAAACACAUAUGGAUGUUGAAAAGUAACAAAAGAACUGAUAAAAUAUGCACCAAAUAUAAAUUCAUGAGCAAGGUAAUGCAAUAGGAUCAUUCUAGCACAAGUGUUAUUUUCUACUUGCCUUUUUAAUUUGAAAUAUUCAGAACAGUUUUAGAGUUUUGACAUGUAAUAAGAUCCUGACCUGUUUUCCACAAAAUUGCAAUUGUAGAGCUUAAUAAUAUAUUGCCAUCUGGACCUGAGUCAAAGUAAAUCCACAUACAUUAUAUAACUUGAAUUGACUUAUAAAAGGAGAAGGGGAUAUAAUAUCUUAAGCCUUUUAAAUAAGGGAUAAGUGCAAUACUGGGAAUUUGUUAAUAUUAUUUCAUGCUAGAUUUUAAAAUGCGUUCCCAGGUGCAGUAUUUAAAGAUGGGGUUGUUUAUUUGAUGGGAUCAUUUGCUUUACAGUGUCUGGGAGCUGCGACUGGUACCAGUGCCAAUAGGCUGUUAUCCUGGGGUUGGAUAUUACUGUGUUCAGAUGCUGUUGUGAUGACUUUGGUAGAUAUACCCAGAUGAAUAGGGGGAGAGCUCUUCUUCCUCCCAGAAAAGGAAGCAAAUGAAUGAUUUGCUGGAAUGAAUAGAAAUAGUAAUGGUUUAAACAUGCUGGUCAUGGAAGUUAGUCAAGAACUCCAAAAAUAGCUCCUUCUGUCCGCGUCAUUUACUAGCCUGCAGAAAAUUAUUCAAGCUUGUUUAUUUUAAUAGGAAAAAGUUAAUUUACUGUCAUUUUAAAGCAUGUUGUCUACUUUGUGGAGGCUAGAGUGUACUAUAUAGGUUGCCAGUGCAGUUCCAGGGCUUAAUUUCUCAGGUACACUCCAGAAAGUUACAUUUGGCUCAGAGGUGAUCACACAAUUUAUUCUGUGAUCUCAGUGCCGUGUAAACCUCAAUUGAUGCCUCUCUAAAUUCUUUUUCACUCUCUGUGCAAUGAGGCUGGCCUGUCUUACAAAUGUAUAGGUACAUAAAUCACAUCUUAUACUGACAUUUCAACAGCGCU